UACGGAGGAUGCGAGCGUUAUCCGGAUUUAUUGGGUUUAAAGGGAGCGCAGACGGGAGAUUAAGUCAGCUGUGAAAGUUUGCGGCUCAACCGUAAAAUUGCAGUUGAUACUGGUUUCCUUGAGUGCGGUUGAGGUGUGCGGAAUUCGUGGUGUAGCGGUGAAAUGCUUAGAUAUCACGAAGAACCCCGAUUGCGAAGGCAGCACACUAAGCCGUAACUGACGUUCAUGCUCGAAAGUGUGGGUAUCAAACAGG
rnacentral:rRNA from 1 species